GUUUUUGGACAGUAUCCUCGGUUUUUAAGAGCUCAUUGGGGGUUUCUAAAAUCUGUGGCAGCCCUUCAGUUUGGGAACACUAUGAAUAUUCUUGAGGCAUAUUCACAUGGUUCAAGUGAGGAACAAGUAAGUAUGAACAAGCAUUCAUAGAAUUUGGCACUGUUCUUCACCUUAUUUUACA